AGACUGGGAGGCUCUGGCUGAGUGGGUAUGUGGGGGCGGAGUAUUUUGAACUCUCUUCAGUAAAGGUUUAUAAGAAAAAUGUGUAUUUUUAUCAUAAAAGAAAACAUGCCUGUCAUCAUUAACAGCCAAUAACGACUACCUCGCACUAUGUAUACUGCAUCAGGCAAAGCUCUUUACAUUCAUAAUUUCACAGUAAAGCGCAUUGUGAACGUUGCAUGACUACAGAUGAGGUACGUAUUUCUAAGUCCCUUUGGCAUACGGAGAAAGCAAGGAUGUGCAGCCGGUGGUUCUUCACCUUGUUGGGUCACAGAGCCUUCAAGGAGUCUAAGAAAGCUGUAGACCUUCUCUUCAGAAAAAUACUAAUAAGCUCAUUCACACUAAAAUGUAUAGAUGAUUUCAAAGAGAAGUCUGCAGUUACCUGAGGUGGCGCAGUGGUUAAGAAUCCGCCUGCCAAUGAAGGGGAUACGGG